rnacentral:rRNA from 1 species
GCCCUUAGAGUUUGAUCCUGGCUCAGGACGAACGCUGGCGGCGUGCUUAACACAUGCAAGUCGAGCGGAAAGGCCCUUCGGGGUACUCGAGCGGCGAACGGGUGAGUAACACGUGAGCAACCUGCCCCAGGCUUUGGGAUAACCCCGGGAAACCGGGGCUAAUACCAAAUAUUACCUCUGAUCGCAUGGUUGGUGGUGGAAAGUUUUUCGGCUUGGGAUGGGCUCGCGGCCUAUCAGCUUGUUGGUGGGGUGAUGGCCUACCAAGGCGACGACGGGUAGCCGGCCUGAGAGGGCGACCGGCCACACUGGGACUGAGACACGGCCCAGACUCCUACGGGAGGCAGCAGUGGGGAAUAUUGCACAAUGGGCGGAAGCCUGAUGCAGCGACGCCGCGUGAGGGAUGACGGCCUUCGGGUUGUAAACCUCUUUCAGCAGGGACGAAGCGUAAGUGACGGUACCUGCAGAAGAAGCGCCGGCCAACUACGUGCCAGCAGCCGCGGUAAGACGUAGGGCGCGAGCGUUGUCCGGAUUUAUUGGGCGUAAAGAGCCUCGUAGGCGGCUUGUCGCGUUCGACCGUUGAAAAACCUGGGGCUCAACUCCAGGCCCUGCGGUCGAUACCGGGCAGGCU